rnacentral:rRNA from 1 species
CACGGAGUUAGCCGGGGCUUCUUCUGGUGGUACCGUCAUUAUCUUCCCACCUGAAAGAGCUUUACAACCCUAAGGCCUUCAUCGCUCACGCGGCAUGGCUAGAUCAGGGUUUCCCCCAUUGUCUAAGAUUCCCCA